rnacentral:tRNA from 1 species
GGUUGUAGCUCAGUGGCAGAGCACUGGCCUUCUAGUGUGUGUGAGGCCCUGGGUUCGAUUGUCAGCACCACCU